AGGACAAUAUUUCUAUUAUACAAAAAAAAUCAGAUGAGCGUCAGCACCCGCAAGGCGGUGCUCUUGUUGCAUCUAUACACUCAACAGGGUCACCAUGGAAACAUACAUCUAGGCAAUUGGUAUAGAUGGAUGACCGAGGUCGAGAUCUGUAAAGUUAUACAGCAUAUUUUGGAGAAUACAUGGUAUGAAAGUUUACUUUUAAUUUCUUGUAACACUAUAAUACAUUUGUUUCUGUCUUUACACAUGCAUUUCUGUAUCUUAUGCAUUCAACAGGGUUACCACGGAAACGUAUAUAUACCUAAAGGCAAUGGUAUAAACUGAAUGCAGACGUUCAGAUGCACAAAGUUUUACAGCAGAUGAAGCAUGUAAGGUGUGUAUGUUUACUUUUUCUUCCUUUUGGCAACAUUGUUAUGUUUGUUUCUGUUUUUACACAUGCCUGUCUGUAUCUUAGUACAAACAACAGGUUUAGCAUGGAAACGCAUGUCCACAUCAAUGCAAUGGUAUAAAUGGAUGACCGACGUUCAGAUGUACUAAGUUAUACAGCAAAUUUUGGAACAUAAAGGGUUUGUGUAUUUACUUUUCUUUAAUGCGUAAUUUGUAUAAAGGUAAUACUAAGCUUAUAUAUGUUUGUUUCUGUUCUUACACAUGCAUUUCUCUAUCUAUACACUAAACAGGGUUACCAUGGAAACAUACCUCUUCAUCUAGGCAAUGGUAUAAAGCUGAUGACCGGCAUUCAAGUCCCUGGCAAAGAGAGAAAUUCAGCUGCUGUCGAUCAAGCGCUACAGGUUUAGCUUUAAAUAAUCUAAGCCUUGCUAAGACCUGAAAAUAAAUGUCAGGCAAAACUGAAACAAAAGCAAAAUAACUAGAUGCACUUAAAGAGCACCUAAUCUAUCUUGUAUACUUUCGCUUCGUAAUACUGUAUGUUUAGUGUUUACUGUUUUGUCAGGGAUCUGUUUGCAGUGGCUACUUGGUUGUUUUUGUGGUAUUGUUUGUUGUGGUGUUUGUUGUGGUGUUUAUGUGUAUAUGGAGGUGUCUGUGGUGGUUUCAAUGUGGUCUUCUCGGUUUUAUUCUUGAUUGGUUGUAUUGUUUUGUUGAAAACGGGCAUUUGGUGCGUUUUGUUUGUUGUAUUGGGCUGUUUGUCAUGGUGUUUUUCUUUCUGCCAUUACCAAUGUAUUAUUACUCGCUUUGUAUACUGUAGAAAAUUAUUAGAAUAAGUUCAAUAUUACAUUGUGUUAUAACUUUACUUGUCCAGCAAAUUUUAGAUACCCGGAAACACAUGAAUAUAUGUGGACGAAUAGGCAUCAUGUGCAGACGAAAGCUUGGACUGGGAAGCGUGCGCCGUUGUUUUAUUUCUGCUUUUUAUUCCUUUUGUUUUGCAUUGCUUUUUUCACUAGACUAUUUGGGGCACGUGAAGAACGAAGACGCAGACGGAUAUUGAAGAUGCAUACCAGACAAAAUUUGGGUUACUGUUUAUCACGAACAGGUGCGUAUGUUGCUUUUUAUAUUAUUCUAUUUUGUAUGCAUCUCUUCGCAGAAUUUUCAAGUCGAAUACAAGCCGGUGUAAAGAUGUCGCAUUGUAGAUGACACAAUGGUUUAGUGGAUGGGGAAGAUAGCGCGGCUGAUGUUGACUGUACAGACACGCGUUAAGAUGUCAUGCUGUAGAUGUGACAAUGGUUUUGUGGACGACGCAGCUUGGGUUUUCUUUUUGGACGCACUGAGUAUUUAGUCAGCAGAGUAUAACUUUCAACAUGUAAGAAGCAGAGGUCAAUUUUCCACUUGGAGUAAUUCAAUAGCAUGGCAAUGUGGACACAGAUCCUGGUUUUGGUAAAAGAAGUACUCGAAAUAUCCGACGAAAAGCAAUUUCUUGGAUUAUACACUAGGAAGAAAAUGUUAGUUAAUGGAACAAUAGCAGCAGUAGAACUACCUUGCCGGUACCCUAACGAAGCCGGUCAUCAGAUGUGCAUUGAAACCCUAUCAAACCCUUGCGUUACCAUGGUAAUCAGCCGUUAUCAACAAGGCAAGGUAGUGCAUGGAUAUAGUGGAAUUCAAGCCUUGGUGGACCUUUCUUCUGUAUUUGUCCAGUCUUGUUGAUCGUAGACAGCUGUUCCACACCUCGUACACAACAGAGAAACCCCCUCGGACGAAGAAUUCGUUCAGAUUCACAAGUAAGAAGUAUCUGCAGAAGAAAGAACCGAUUAUGGUAGAUCCACGACAGUCCUGGCACAAGCAAACAUGGCAUUACCACAGCCCCGACACAAGCUUUGUUGAGAUUAGAUAUAAACUAACAUGUAUAUAAUUAUACCUUCAUGUACAAAGUACACGGGAUUAUAUUGGAGUCACACAUGUCAGCGGGUCCGUUCGUCCGUUCGCCUAUCUGUCCAUCAUGUCCGCUGGGAAGAUUUUAAAAAAAAAUGGCUUCAUUUAUUAGCCUCAACAAGAAUGUUCGUUGUGCACAACCCAAGUUACUAGGCCCAAGGUCAGUAUUACUCUUGGAGGACAAAGUUCAAAUAAUCUUAAUUUAGUGUCCGCUCCGUAUUGUCUUAACUGCAACGAUUAUUUAGGUCAAACAUUCGUUAUUGUACUCGCCCUGCCUUCAGGGUCACUGUCACCGUUGCAUUCAGGUUAAACGUUUAUAUGAUUCUCAAAAUCACUAUAUUUUCUUAACUACUGCCCAUAUUAGCAUCAAACUAUACAUUUGUUGAUUGUGGUAAAACGCAGACAGACAUUUAUUUGUUAGGGGUCAAGCAUCCAAAAGGUCAAAGUUACUUUGGUCAUAUUUUGUAAUUGUGCUGGUUAAAUCUUAGAUUGUUUCUUAUAUCUUCUCAUUCUCCCGCCCCAACCCCUACUCUACCCCCAAAAGGAAAAGAGUCUUAUUCAUCACUCACGCUUACUUAUAUCCUAUAGCAAUUAAUAUUGGUCAGCAUUUCCGAAUAGUCACGCGGGCUUUCCUUACAACAGUUCUUGAUCUUGAUAUAAAAUUAGGAUUAGUAAAUAGAUGUAAGCACUCACAACCUAGUUCAUUCGGUCAAAGGUCAAGUUCUGACUUAAAAGACCGCACCAUAUUGCCUAAUCUAAUAAAGUAAGCACUAACUGUCAAUUCCAUCUAGCCACUAGGUUAAAGGUCAGUGUGACAGAUAUGAGGUCAAAGGUCAAAUAACUUUUUGACUGAUACAUAUCUUGUAACCCCAUUUUCCAUACACUCAUAAAACUAGCAAUAAAUAUCAAGAAGACCUGUAUAGAACCCAGAUUAUUAGAUCCAAGGUCAAGGUUACACUUGAAUGUCAAAAUGAUGACAACAUUGACUUACCCUGCAUCAAAGCAGCGUCUGGGGGGUAACAAUAGUUCUAGUUUAUCAUUUUUAGCGGACCAAAUUUGUAAUCGUAUUAACCAUUUGACAAAUAUUUCCUAAACUUUAGGAUAAAUAUUUAAAACAAAAAUCAGGAAACUGUUUGUUUUUUUAACACUGAUACAGUGGGACUAUUUUUAGACACAGCGAAUAUUUUAGCUUGAUUUGUUGUCAGUCAUGAUUUUCUAAAUGAUAGUUUUAUUACAAAUUCAAAAUGUAGCACAUUUGACAUUAAUGUAAAAAAUCAGGGACAGCGAAUUUUGUAAGAAAAAAAUGUAGUUGGUUAAAUAUUUCAAAAAGUGUCUCAAAUGUUUGCUCUUUUCAACAGUUGCGUUUUAACUGAUCAGGGAUUGUUUCAAAAAUAAAUAUGCGUAGUUUAGUUGAUGUAUAAAAAGCUGCUUUUUGCAACUUGUACAUUUUGGAGUGGGGGCUAAAUUCCAAACCCUCAUAUAUUUUAAAACAUAUAGAGGACAUUCCUUUGGUUCAGUGUAAGCUCGAAACAGAAACAUUCUAGUGUUCACACGUGAAAAUUUUUAAAUAGUAAUCACACGGAUUUUAUUCUAAUGCAUUUUAUUUUUAUUUUAUAUUUUCUGCCAACGUAACGCCAUACGCUUUGUGCAACGUUACUCUACAUUUUAUGGCAAUACUUAUGUUGGAAAAAAGUGACAUAGUGACAUUUCAAUCUACAUGUAAUUAUGUUUUAGUUAAAAAGAUAUCCGAUUCUACGUUAUUCAUAUUCUUGCGUUAAAUUGUGGUUACAUACAAGUGAAAAUUGUAUUUGGAUUUCUCACCUUUUAAGAGCGGCUUUAUCAGGGUAUAAUGCAUCGUUGUUUUCUUGAAACCUUCUCAAAAUAUGGUAUAUAAUUCUAUAUGCUUGUAACUGCAGAAUGUACCGAUAAGACCUUAAUUCUUUUAUUCAAAUCCGCAUUCUAGUCCUUUGUCUGUGUCAUUUUAAUGUUGCUUUUAAAAGUCAUUUUGGCCUCAUUUUUGUACACUGAAUUUUACACACUGUUUGGCAUAACUUUUAACCAGCACCUAACUCUGUGCACUAACCUUAACCAUUCGGGGCUAAAGUGACUGUUAAAGCAACUUUGUCUUUUAUGGGAACAAGACUAGCAUAUCUUUAUAAAUGAUGGAUAAAAAUUGUUGGCAAACUUUCAGGUUUUUGUCUACGCUUUUAAUGAAAUACUUUAAUAUAACGUUAGAUUAUACAAUGAUAAAUUCAUUGUUUUAAACGGAGAGAAAUCCAAAUAUGAUGUUCACUAGAACGGAACCUACACUUGAACGCGAAAGGGAUAUAAUUUGUAACGACGUGAAAUAUGCUUAAAAGCAACAAAGCUGUAUAGUAAUGCUUUCAAAAAAAAAAAAAAAAAAAAUACACGAGAAAAUCAUUGAAAUAUAAAAGAUUCUUAUACAUCUCUUAGACCUAUUGAACUCAUUUUCCAACAUAAGCAUUGUGACGUCAUAAAAUAUAGCGUUACGUUACCCCUGACGCAUGAUGUCUUACCUGACUGAAAAAGAAAAGAUAAUAUGAAAAAUAAUUAGUUUAACUCAACAAGACAUAAAGCAAUUCAACAUUUAUGUGUACAUUUUGGUUAAAAUUGUUAGAAGUUAAGAAUGAGAUAUGAACGUUUCAUAAUUAAUUAUUUUCACAUGGGAACACCAGAUUUAUGUUCACUCGGUGCUGAAAUAAACGAAUGUCUUCUAUACCUUUUACAAUAGCAAAUGGGUAAAACUUAAUGUGAUAGAAAUAAGUAAAACGAUCCCUUACCAUUUUUAAAUGACUUUCAUUUUUGGUGCAAAUAUUGUCUGUUUUACUGAUUUAUUAAUGAUAUACAUUGUACCUUGUAUUAUAGUAACGUAGAUACUUUAAAAUAUAAUUCCAAGCUUACCAUAUUUUCUAAAGGAGUUGAAUUUAAUGAAUUUCUGUACAUAUCGUUUAAAAUUGUAAAAUAAUAGUACUUUUAGAAGUAUUUUUAUUGUUUUAACACUAGUUAUACUUUUUUAAAAUGUUAUUUGUGAUUAUGUUUUAUAUUUUAUUUCACCUUGAAAAAUGAAUAAAAUGCCAUACAGUUGUGUUGAUUAUUUUAGUUUAAGAAAUAAAAGGUCAUACAAUUGCAUUGGUUAUUGAUGUUUCGGAAAUCAAAAAUGACUUUCCUUUACUAUCUCUAAGUACUUACCGUCACACCGUACGUAAAAUGCGGGUGUGUUCAAUUGGUCAUGCUUUAUCCAGAGAUUAUCCUUAUUGAUAUGCAUUUUGUCAACCACCAAUGAUAUUUCACCUAGACGCCAUUUGCAAAAUAACCUUGAGGUUAUUCCAACACGUACUUUGUCCUUCAGUUUAUCUUCCCUGAACGCCAUCUGCAAAAUAAGUGGUCACUUGUCGACAUUUUCCCCAUCCAAAGGUAUUGCCCC
rnacentral:lncRNA from 1 species